rnacentral:rRNA from 1 species
GAUGAACGCUGGCGGCGUGCCUAAUACAUGCAAGUCGAGCGAACAGACGAGGAGCUUGCUCCUCUGACGUUAGCGGCGGACGGGUGAGUAACACGUGGAUAACCUACCUAUAAGACUGGGAUAACUUCGGGAAACCGGAGCUAAUACCGGAUAAUAUAUUGAACCGCAUGGUUCAAUAGUGAAAGACGGUUUUGCUGUCACUUAUAGAUGGAUCCGCGCCGCAUUAGCUAGUUGGUAAGGUAACGGCUUACCAAGGCAACGAUGCGUAGCCGACCUGAGAGGGUGAUCGGCCACACUGGAACUGAGACACGGUCCAGACUCCUACGGGACGCAGCAGUAGCGAAUCUUCCGCAAUGGGCGAAAGCCUGACGGAGCAACGCCGCGUGAGUGAUGAAGGUCUUCCGAUCGUAAAACUCUGUUAUUAGGGAAGAACAAAUGUGUAAGUAACUAUGCACGUCUUGACGGUACCUAAUCAGAAAGCCACGGCUAACUACGUG